GGACGCGUAGCUCAGUCCGGUAGAGCACCCGGCUUUUAACCGGAGGGUCGGGGGUUCAAAUCCCUCCGCGUCCA
rnacentral:tRNA from 1 species